rnacentral:misc_RNA from 1 species
GAUGAAGAACGUAGCGAAAUGCGAUAAGUAGUGUGAAUUGCAGAAUUCAGUGAAUCAUCGAAUCUUUGAACGCACAUUGCGCCCCUCGGGAUUCCGUGGGGCAUGCCUGUUCGAGCGUCAUUUAACCCCUCAAGCCUAGCUUGGUAUUGGGUGCUUGUCCCGCCUCUCGCGCGGCGACUCACCUCAAAGUCAUUGGCAGCCCGCAUCUCGCCGGCCGUGAGCGCAGCACAGACGCGCUCUUGGCAACGACGGAUCGGCUCUCCAAAAGCUUAUUUCAACCACUGACCUCGGAUCAGGUAGGGAUACCCGCUGAACUUAAGCAUAUCAAUAAGCGGAGGA